rnacentral:rRNA from 1 species
CCACCAGUUAAGGUCCCCAAAUAUAUGUUAAGUGGAAAAGGAUGUGGGGUUGCUUAGACAACCAGGAUGUUGGCUUAGAAGCAGCCACCAUUGAAAGAGUGCGUAAUAGCUCACUGGUCGAGUGACCCCGCGCCGAAAAUGUACCGGGGCUAAACAUAUUACCGAAACUGUGGAUGAACCUCUUUAGAGGUUCGUGGUAGGAGAGCGUUCUAAGGGCGGUGAAGUCAGACCGGAAGGACUGGUGGAGCGCUUAGAAGUGAGAAUGCCGGUAUGAGUAGCGAAAGAAGGGUGAGAAUCCCUUCCACCGAAUAUCUAAGGUUUCCUGAGGAAGGCUCGUCCGCUCAGGGUUAGUCGGGACCUAAGCCGAGGCCGAUAGGCGUAGGCGAUGGACAACAGGUAGAGAUUCCUGUACCAGUGCUAAUUGUUUAACCGAUGGGGUGACACAGAAGGAUAGGGAAUCGCACGAAUGGAAAUGUGCGUCCAAGCAGUGAGUGUGAGAAGUAGGCAAAUCCGCUUCUCGCGAAGCAUGAGCUGUGAUGGGGAAGGAAAUUAAGUACGGAAGUUCCUGAUUUCACGCUGUCAAGAAAAGCCUCUAGGAAGAGUAGUACUGCCCGUACCGCAAACCGACACAGGUAGAUGAGGAGAGAAUCCUAAGGUGAGCGAGAGAACUCUCGUUAAGGAACUCGGCAAAAUGACCCCGUAACUUCGGGAGAAGGGGUGCUCUAUUAGGGUGCAAGCCCGAGAGAGCCGCAGUGAAUAGGCCCAGGCGACUGUUUAGCAAAAACACAGGUCUCUGCAAAACCGUAAGGUGACGUAUAGGGGCUGACGCCUGCCCGGUGCUGGAAGGUUAAGAGGAGUGCUUAGCUUCGGCGAAGGUACGAAUUGAAGCCCCAGUAAACGGCGGCCGUAACUAUAACGGUCCUAAGGUAGCGAAAUUCCUUGUCGGGUAAGUUCCGACCCGCACGAAAGGCGCAACGAUCUGGGCACUGUCUCAACGAGAGACUCGGUGAAAUUAUAGUACCUGUGAAGAUGCAGGUUACCCGCGACAGGACGGAAAGACCCCGUGGAGCUUUACUGCAACCUGAUAUGGAAUGUUUGUACCGCUUGUACAGGAUAGGUAGGAGCCGAAGAGACGUGUGCGCUAGCAUACGAGGAGGCAAUGGUGGGAUACUACCCUGGCUGUAUGACCAUUCUAACCCGCCACGCUUAGCGCGUGGGGAGACAGUGUCAGGUGGGCAGUUUGACUGGGGCGGUCGCCUCCUAAAGAGUAACGGAGGCGCCCAAAGGUUCCCUCAGAAUGGAUGGAAAUCAUUCGCAGAGUGUAAAGGCACAAGGGAGCUUGACUGCGAGACUGACAAGUCGAGCAGGGACGAAAGUCGGGCUUAGUGAUCCGGUGGUUCCGCAUGGAAGGGCCAUCGCUCAACGGAUAAAAGCUACCCCGGGGAUAACAGGCUUAUCUCCCCCAAGAGUCCACAUCGACGGGGAGGUUUGGCACCUCGAUGUCGGCUCGUCGCAUCCUGGGGCUGUAGUCGGUCCCAAGGGUUGGGCUGUUCGCCCAUUAAAGCGGCACGCGAGCUGGGUUCAGAACGUCGUGAGACAGUUCGGUCCCUAUCCGUCGCGGGCGCAGGAAAUUUGAGAGGAGCUGUCCUUAGUACGAGAGGACCGGGAUGGACACACCGCUGGUGUACCAGUUGUUCCGCCAGGAGCAUCGCUGGGUAGCUAUGUGUGGCAGGGAUAAACGCUGAAAGCAUCUAAGCGUGAAGCCCCCCUCAAGAUGAGAUUUCCCAUUUCUUCGGAAAGUAAGAUCCCUGAAAGAUGAUCAGGUAGAUAGGUUUGGAGUGGAAGUGUAGCGAUACAUGGAGCGGACAAAUACUAAUCGAUCGAGGACUUAACCAAAA